UCUACCGCAAUUAACCCGCCCUUUCCCUGUGGAUGGGUGUUAAGCGGUUUCCCAGCCUGCGCCUCUUUGAGCUGUAUCAUGGUGUGGGACAUUUGUUACAAUCCGUGAACCGUGGUGAGAAGGCUUUGUGGAGAACGCAGUAUUGAGCUGGGCCUUGGCAGACAGGGUGAGGACUGAGCAUCCCAGCCGAAGAGACCGUGUGAGGAGAGCGUGGAGAUGGGUCCGCCUGUCACUCAACUGGCCUGUGAGCCCCCGAGGUUGGGGGCCCUGUCGUACUCUUUAUCACCCACUUCUAACUCAGCGUCUGGCACCCUUCAAAUGAAUUCUUCAAAUAAAUGAAUGAAUGGAUGGAUCUAUUGAAAUGAAUGAAUCCUUCAAGUGAAUGGAUCCUUCAAAUGGAUGGAUGGAUGAGGUUAGGGGAUGAUUGGUGUGAAAGCAAAGGGA